rnacentral:rRNA from 1 species
CCUGGUUGAUCCUGCCAGUAACAUAUGCUUGUCUCAAAGAUUAAGCCAUGCAGGUCUAAGUGCACACGGAAGGUACAGUGAAACUGCGAAUGGCUCAUUAAAUCAGUUAUGGUUCCUUGAUCGCUCCACACGUUACUCGGAUAACUGUGGUAAUUCCAGAGCUAAUACAUGCAAACGAGCGCUGACCGGUCCUCUCUCGGGGGGGCCGGGAUGCGUGCAUUUAUCAGACCCAAAACCCACCCGGGGGGACCCGCGAGGGUUUCCCCCGGCCCUUUGGUGACUCUAGAUAACCCUCGGGUCGAUCGCGCGCCCACCGCGGCGGCGACGUCUCAUUCGAAUGUCUGCCCUAUCAGCUGUCGAUGGUAGCAUAGGGGGCUACCAUGGUGACCACGGGUAACGGGGAAUCAGGGUUCGAUUCCGGAGAGGGAGCCUGAGAAAUGGCUACCACAUCCAAGGAAGGCAGCAGGCGCGCAAAUUACCCAUUACCGACACGGUGAGGUAGUGACGAAAAAUAACGAUGCAGGUCUCUUUCGAGGCCCUGUAAUCGGAAUGAACGUAUCCUAAACACAUGGGUGAGGACCCAUUGGAGGGCAAUUCUGGUGCCAGCAGCCGCGGUAAUUCCAGCUCCAAUAGCGUAUAUUAAAUUUGCUGCAGUUAAAAAGCUCGUAGUUGGACUUCGGGAGUGGGCUGGCGGUCCGCCGCGAGGCGAGCUACCGCCUGUCCCAGACCCUGCCUCCCGGCGCCCCCCGGAUGCCCUUGGUUGGGUGUCCGGUCCUCAGGGGUCCGGAGCGUUUACUUUGAAAAAAUCAGAGUGUUCAAAGCGGGCACCAACCUUGCCUGAAUGCCUGAGCUAGGAAUAAUGGAAUAGGACUCCGGUUCUAUUUUGUGGGUUUCCUGAACCAGGGCCAUGAUUAAGAGGGACGGCCGGGGGCAUUCGUAUUGCGCCGCUAGAGGUGAAAUUCUUGGACCGGCGCAAGACGGACGAAAGCGAAAGCAUUUGCCAAGAAUGUUUUCAUUAAUCAAGAACGAAAGUCGGAGGUUCGAAGACGAUCAGAUACCGUCGUAGUUCCGACCGUAAACUAUGCCGACCCGCGAUCCGGCGGCGUUAUUCCCAUGACCCGCCGGGCAGCGUGCGGGGAAACCAGAGUCUUUGGGUUCCGGGGGGAGUAUGGUUGCAAAACUGAAACUUAAAGGAAUUGACGGAAGGGCACCACCAAGGAGUGGAGCCUGCGGCUUAAUUUGACUCAACACGGGGAACCUCACCCGGCCCGGACACGGGAAGGAUUGACAGACUGAUGGCUCUUUCUCGAUUCUGUGGGUGGUGGUGCAUGGCCGUUCUUAGUUGGUGGAGUGAUUUGUCUGGUUAAUUCCGAUAACGAACGAGAUUCCUUCGUGCUAAAUAGUUACGCGGCCCCCCGCGGUCGCGGUUAACUUCUUAGAGGGACCAGUGGCGUAUAGCCACGCGAGAUGGAGCAAUAACAGGUCUGUGAUGCCCUUAGAUGUCCGGGGCUGCACGCGCGCCACAAUGGCCGGGCCAGCGUGUGCCUACCCUACGCCGAGAGGCGCGGGUAAUCCGCUUAAACCCGUUCGUGACGGGGAUUGGGGAUUGCAAUUAUUCCCCAUUGAACGAGGAAUUCCCAGUAAGUGCGGGUCAUCAGCUCGCGCUGAUUAAGUCCCUGCCCUUUGUACACACCGCCCGUCGCUACUACCGAUUGGAUGGUUAUGUGAGGUCCUCGGAUCGGCCACGCCGGGGCUCCUUCGCGGGGCCUUGGUGCUGUGCUGAAAAGUCGAUCGAACUUGAUCAUCUAGAGGAAGUAAAAGUCGUAACAAGGUUUCCGUAGGUGAACCUGCGGAAG